UACGAAGGGGGCUAGCGUUGUUCGGAAUUACUGGGCGUAAAGCGCGCGCAGGCGGUCUUCCAAGUCAGUGGUGAAAGCCCGGAGCUCAACUCCGGAACUGCCAUUGAAACUGUGAGACUUGAGGACGAGAGAGGUGAGUGGAAUUCCCAGUGUAGAGGUGAAAUUCGUAGAUAUUCGCAAGAACACCAGUGGCGAAGGCGGACUCACUGGCCCGGUACUGACGCUGAGGUGCGAAAGCGUGGGGAGCAAACAGGG
rnacentral:rRNA from 1 species